rnacentral:rRNA from 1 species
AUGAACGCUGGCGGCGUGCCUAAUACAUGCAAGUCGAACGCUUCACAUAUGUGAAGAGUGGCGAACGGGUGAGUAAUACAUAAGUAACCUGGCCUUUACAGGGGGAUAACUGUUGGAAACGAUAGCUAAGACCGCAUAGGUGUCAUAACCGCAUGGAGAUGACAUGAAAUAUGCUGCGGCAUAGGUAGAGGAUGGACUUAUGGCGCAUUAGCUAGUUGGAGGGGUAACGGCCCACCAAGGCGACGAUGCGUAGCCGACCUGAGAGGGUGACCGGCCACACUGGGACUGAGACACGGCCCAGACUCCUACGGGAGGCAGCAGUAGGGAAUUUUCGGCAAUGGGGGAAACCCUGACCGAGCAACGCCGCGUGAAGGAAGAAGUAAUUCGUUAUGUAAACUUCUGUCAUAGAGGAAGAACGGUGCGUGUAGGGAAUGACAUGCAAGUGACGGUACUCUAUAAGAAAGCCACGGCUAACUACGUGCCAGCAGCCGCGGUAAUACGUAGGUGGCGAGCGUUAUCCGGAAUUAUUGGGCGUAAAGAGGGAGCAGGCGGCACUAAGGGUCUGUGGUGAAAGAUCGAAGCUUAACUUCGGUAAGCCAUGGAAACCGUAGAGCUAGAGUGUGUGAGAGGAUCGUGGAAUUCCAUGUGUAGCGGUGAAAUGCGUAGAUAUAUGGAGGAACACCAGUGGCGAAGGCGACGAUCUGGCGCAUAACUGACGCUCAGUCCCGAAAGCGUGGGGAGCAAAUAGGAUUAGAUACCCUAGUAGUCCACGCCGUAAACGAUGAGUACUAAGUGUUGGGAGUCAAAUCUCAGUGCUGCAGUUAACGCAAUAAGUACUCCGCCUGAGUAGUACGUUCGCAAGAAUGAAACUCAAAGGAAUUGACGGGGGCCCGCACAAGCGGUGGAGCAUGUGGUUUAAUUCGACGCAACGCGAAGAACCUUACCAGGUCUUGACAUCGUAUGCAUAGCUCAGAGAUGAGUGAAAUCUCUUCGGAGACAUAUAGACAGGUGGUGCAUGGUUGUCGUCAGCUCGUGUCGUGAGAUGUUGGGUUAAGUCCCGCAACGAGCGCAACCCCUGUUGCCAGUUGCCAGCAUUAAGUUGGGGACUCUGGCGAGACUGCCGGUGACAAGCCGGAGGAAGGCGGGGAUGACGUCAAAUCAUCAUGCCCCUUAUGACCUGGGCUACACACGUGCUACAAUGGACAGAGCAGAGGGAAGCGAAGCCGCGAGGUGGAGCGAAACCCAGAAAACUGUUCUCAGUUCGGACUGCAGUCUGCAACUCGACUGCACGAAGUUGGAAUCGCUAGUAAUCGCGAAUCAGCAUGUCGCGGUGAAUACGUUCUCGGGCCUUGUACACACCGCCCGUCACACCAUGAGAGUCGGUAACACCCGAAGCCGGUGGCCUAACCGCAAGGAAGGAGCUGUCUAAGGUGGGACUGAUGAUUGGGGUG